AUGGAGCUGGGAAAGCAUUGCCUCUACACGAAAGUGAUCGUGAUCUUCUUUCCGUCAGUACAUGAUGAGCACUGGUUCUUGUUCGUUGUUGACAUUAUAGCAAGAAAGUUUGUCUUCCUAGAUUCAUAUGAAGGGAACACACCAUUCCACAUCGGGAUCAGAGAUUUGAUGAUAAACAAUUUCAUAAAAACAUGGGAAGAUUCUAAUCUGAGAGGAAUGAGUUUCAGAAAGUUUGGUGUAGAGUACCCAAACAUGCCAAAGCAAAUCGGAAGCGACGCUUGUGGGAUUUUUGCUCUUAACUGGAUGCAAACUUGGGCUUCGCGAAAUCCUCUGCAGCGACAGUUCACAAUGAACGACGUAGCAAACGCAAGGGUCAGAUUUGCUGUUGACAUUCUAUUUAGUAUUCACAACACAGAGGAUCAAGGCAAAACACUCGUCAAGAACUUCGCAUGGUAA
rnacentral:rRNA from 1 species